rnacentral:lncRNA from 1 species
CUCACUCAUCUUUUCACUCAGAAACUCUCUGAACCCAAAUCCUAGCGCCGCCCUAAAUUCCUCACCAUAUCCGGUGGCGGUGCCUUCUUAAACCACCUCCAAAAUUAUACCUCAUAACCCCCAGUCCUUCCUCUUCCUAAACCCAAAACAAUUCCCUUCAAAUCCCUUUCCAUCACCUCGAAUCUUAGAUCUAAGGUCGAAAACCCUAAAUUCCCAAUUUUACCUUGACCGCGGAUCUAGAGCAUGCAAAGCUAAGAGGGUCGAUUUUGCACAAAACUAACGUUGCCCGUUUGUUCUUGACAAGAACACAUGGUUGACAUCAAUUUUGGGCUCAAAUGGGAAUGGCCAGAGUUUCUGAAAGUCAAGUAUUAGGUAUUUUUCUUUUAUUUUUUCCCCCUUUGCCUAUUUCUUUGAUUUUUCUUUUCUUCUACGUUUUUACCUUUUCUUCCACUUUCCUCUAAUCAAGUUUACUCAUCUUCCUUUUUAUCCUUGUUUUCUAUUUUAUUUUUUCUUUGUUUUCCGACUCUUCUCUUCAAUCUUUAACCUCUGCUCAUCGAAUAUUUUUUGGUUUAUCAUGUGUUCCAUAGGUUAAUUGUCCAGUUUGUUUGAUUAGGAUAAAUUCUUUAAAGUUAGAGCAAUCAUUGGGCCUGCUGUUUUCAGGUUGUUACUUGUUUUAAUUGUUGAGGCAUUUUAGCAUGGUUUGGAUUGAAAGUCAUCAUAGUGCAUUUUUAAUUAUGCUAUUUAGUCGGUUUCAUUUUGGAAAAAACUCUUGUUUGGGUCUUUUGGGUUAUUUGGCCCAUCUGUGUUUGGGCAGAAGUUGCCCGAAAUUUCCCUUUGAGUUUUGGUUCAGUAGUUGACAAGUAAAUACAGGGGUGUUAAGGGUUAUUUUGGUCAUUCUAGCUUGAUGGAAUCUGGGCUAACCAACUAGGAGUUUUCCAGGAAAGUGGGUAAUGGGACUGACUUAACAAACUAACUAGAAAAUCAGGGUCUAAGUUGAAAAAAUAAAAAUUGGGGAAGGGGUAAUUGGUAAAACUAGAAAUCAUUUCUGCUGCCAAAAAGGCUCUCUAUAAGAAGUUUGUUUUCCUUCAUUGUCAAGGCAGACUUUAGAGAUUACAAUACUGAAAACUGAGAAAACGGCUGAGCUCAAAAACACUGAAAAUCUCUUGCAUUUUUGGUAGAAAUUGGCUUAUUUCUGCUGUUUAUCUUCAUAGCUUGAAACUUUCUCAAGAAUUUCUGGUUUAUUAUGGGUUCAAAAUGAUUUAAAAGAACUGAGUAUUGCUAUUGUUUGGCUGUGUUGGUGCUGCUGUUUUCUCCAAACUUCAAGCUUACUUUCCUUGUUGUUUUUGUUGUAAUCAGGUACCCUUUUGGACCCUAUGAAUGUAUGAAAUUCACGUUUGAAGCCAUGUGAUCAAUUUGAGUACUUAUGGAUGAAUGGAAAUUUGCUGAAUGUUAAGCCUUGUAUUUUUGAAGAUUAUUCAUGUUUCUUUUUCCUUUAUCGAAUUAGUUUAUUACAUGAUCUAUUAUAGUUAUGUUAUUGACAGCCCCUUUGGGGUUGUGUUUAGAGUUUGGUUUAGUCACAUUGGCUUUAAUUGAGUUGAACUACUUUCGUCAUGUAUUUAAUGUGGACUAUUGCAGCCUAGGUUGAUUUAGAUGAGUAGUGUCUUCUUUUUGUGAGAUUUUGAUUGAGUUAUUCUGAGCUAGUAGUGAUAAUCAUUCAGUCCACAAUGAGCUCUUCUCAUAGUGCUGCUCUUUUAAAUGUUGGUUUUAAUAUCCAAAACAAAUAUAGGAACCACUGUUGUAUUUUGAUAUCUACUUUGGAUGAUUAAAGUACUCUACUGUUAGAUUCACUAAGUGUAUGAGUUCAACAUUGAUGAGUAGUAGCUUUGAGUUUCAAA